AUUGAACGCUGGCGGCAGGCCUAACACAUGCAAGUCGAACGGUAACAGGAAGAAUCUUGCUUCUUUGCUGACGGGUGGCGGACGGGUGAGUAAUGUCUGGGAAACUGCCUGAUUGAGGGGGAUAACUACUGGAAACGGUAGCUAAUACCGCAUAACGUCGCAAGACCAAAGAGGGGUAGCUUCGUGCCUCUUGCCGUCGGAUGUUCCCCGAUGGUAUUAGCUAGUAGGUGGGGUAACGUCUCACCUAGGCGACGAUCCCUAGCUGGUCUGAGAGGAUGACCGGCCACACUGGAACUGAGACACGGUCCAGACGCCUACGAGAGGCAGCAGUGGGGAAUAUGGCACAAUGGGCGCAAGCCUGAUGCAGCCAUGCCGCGUGUAUGAAGAAGGCCUUCGGGUUGUAAAGUACUUUCAGCGGGGAGGAAGGGAGUAAAGUUAAUACCUUUGCUCAUUGACGUUACCCGCAGAAGAAGCACCGGCUAACUCCGUG
rnacentral:rRNA from 1 species